GGAAUAUUGCACAAUGGGGGAAACCCUGAUGCAGCGACGCCGCGUGAGCGAAGAAGUAUUUCGGUAUGUAAAGCUCUAUCAGCAGGGAAGAAAAAUGACGGUACCUGAGUAAGAAGCACCGGCUAAAUACGUGCCAGCAGCCGCGGUAAUACGAAUGGUGCAAGCGUUAUCCGGUUUUACUGGGUGUAAAGGGAGCGCAGGCGGUUCAGCAAGUCUGAUGUGAAAGCCCGGGGCUCAACCCCGGGACUGCAUUGGAAACUACCGAACUAGAGUGUCGGAGAGGUAAGUGGAAUUCCUAGUGUAGCGGUGAAAUGCGUAAAUAUUAGGAGGAACACCAGUGGCGAAGGCGGCUUACUGGACGAUAACUGACGCUGAGGCUCGAAAGCGUGGGGAGCAGAC
rnacentral:rRNA from 1 species